rnacentral:rRNA from 1 species
AUGCAUGUCUAAGUUCACACUGUCUCACGGUGAAACCGCGAAUGGCUCAUUAAAUCAGUCGAGGUUCCUUAGAUGACACGAUCCUACUUGGAUAACUGUGGCAAUUCUAGAGCUAAUACAUGCUUAUGAAGCUCCGACCCUCGUGGAAAGAGCGCUUUUAUUAGUUCAAAACCAAUCGCCGUUCCACUCGCAAGAGUGGGCGGCGUCCCCACUGGUGACUCUGGAUAACUUUGUGCUGAUCGCAUGGCCUUUGCGCUGGSGACGCAUCUUUCAAAUGUCUGCCCUAUCAAAUGUCGAUGGUACGUGAUAUGCCUACCAUGUUUGUAACGGGUAACGGGGAAUCAGGGUUCGAUUCCGGAGAGGGAGCAUGAGAAACGGCUACCACA